rnacentral:rRNA from 1 species
UACGUAGGGUGCAAGCGUUGUCCGGAAUUAUUGGGCGUAAAGAGCUCGUAGGCGGUCUGUUGCGUCGGCUGUGAAAACCCGAGGCUCAACCUCGGGCCUGCAGCCGAUACGGGCAGACUAGAGUUCGGCAGGGGAGACUGGAAUUCCUGGUGUAGCGGUGAAAUGCGUAGAUAUCAGGAGGAACACCGGUGGCGAAGGCGGGUCUCUGGGCAACAACUGACGCUGAGGAGCGAAAGCGUGGGGAGCGAACAGG